GCACGGAUGACAUUUGUAUUAGCCACAGCUGAUCCGCUGAUGAUCGUGUGUCGUUCUGAUC
rnacentral:snoRNA from 1 species